AUGAACGCUAGCUACAGGCUUAACACAUGCAAGUCGAGGGGCAGCAUGAACUUAGCUUGCUAAGUUUGAUGGCGACCGGCGCACGGGUGAGUAACACGUAUCCAACCUGCCGAUGACUCGGGGAUAGCCUUUCGAAAGAAAGAUUAAUACCCGAUGGCAUAGUUCUUCCGCAUGGUAGAACUAUUAAAGAAUUUCGGUCAUCGAUGGGGAUGCGUUCCAUUAGGUUGUUGGCGGGGUAACGGCCCACCAAGCCUUCGAUGGAUAGGGGUUCUGAGAGGAAGGUCCCCCACAUUGGAACUGAGACACGGUCCAAACUCCUACGGGAGGCAGCAGUGAGGAAUAUUGGUCAAUGGACGAGAGUCUGAACCAGCCAAGUAGCGUGAAGGAUGACUGCCCUAUGGGUUGUAAACUUCUUUUAUACGGGAAUAAAGUGAGGCACGUGUGCCUUUUUGUAUGUACCGUAUGAAUAAGGAUCGGCUAACUCCGUGCCAGCAGCCGCGGUAAUACGGAGGAUCCGAGCGUUAUCCGGAUUUAUUGGGUUUAAAGGGAGCGUAGGCGGACGCUUAAGUCAGUUGUGAAAGUUUGCGGCUCAACCGUAAAAUUGCAGUUGAUACUGGGUGUCUUGAGUACAGUAGAGGCAGGCGGAAUUCGUGGUGUAGCGGUGAAAUGCUUAGAUAUCACGAAGAACUCCGAUUGCGAAGGCAGCUUGCUGGACUGUAACUGACGCUGAUGCUCGAAAGUGUGGGUAUCAAACAGGAUUAGAUACCCUGGUAGUCCACACAGUAAACGAUGAAUACUCGCUGUUUGCGAUAUACAGUAAGCGGCCAAGCGAAAGCGUUAAGUAUUCCACCUGGGGAGUACGCCGGCAACGGUGAAACUCAAAGGAAUUGACGGGGGCCCGCACAAGCAGUGGAGUAUGUGGUUUAAUUCGAAGCAACGCGAAGAACCUUACCAAGUCUUGACAUCCCUUGACGAUGCUGGAAACAGUAUUUCUCUUCGGAGCAAGGAGACAGGUGGUGCAUGGUUGUCGUCAGCUCGUGUCGUGAGAUGUUGGGUUAAGUCCCGCAACGAGCGCAACCCUUGUCAUUAGUUACUAACAUUAAGUUGAGGACUCUAAUGAGACUGCCGGGGACAACUCGGAGGAAGGUGGGGAUGACGUCAAAUCAUCAUGCCCCUUAUGACUUGGGCUACACACGUGCUACAAUGGCGUAAACAAAGGGAAGCGAACCUGUGAGGGUGGGCAAAUCCCAAAAAUAACGUCCCAGUUCGGAUUGCAGGCUGCAACUCGCCUGCAUGAAGCUGGAAUCGCUAGUAAUCGCAGAUCAGAAUGCUGCGGUGAAUACGUUCCCGGGCCUUGUACACACCGCCCGUCACACCAUGAGAGCCGGGGGGACCCGAAGUCGGUAGUCUAACCGCAAGGAGGACGCCGCCGAAGGUAAAACUGGUGAUUGGGGUG
rnacentral:rRNA from 1 species